rnacentral:rRNA from 1 species
CCCCUAGAUGUUCUGGGCCGCACGCGCGCUACACUGAACAGUUCAACAAGUCUUAACCUUGGCCGAUAGGUCUGGGUAAUCUUUGAACGCUGUUCGUGAUUGGGAUAGACCUUUGCAAUUAUGGGUCUUCAACGAGGAAUUCCUAGUAAACGCAAGUCAUCAGCUUGCAUUGAUUACGUCCCUGCCCUUUGUACACACCGCCCGUCGCACCUACCGAUUGAAUGGUCCGGUGAAGCGCUCGGACCGCGGCCUCUUGACGGUUCGCUGUCGAUUGGCUGUGGGAAGUUCGUUAAACCUUAUCAUUUAGAGGAAGGAGAANUCGUANCA